UUGGAGUACAAUUGACAUUGUAAUUAUUGUUUAACAGGUUAGCAUUAUGUUUGUUACUUUGGAGAAAAUUGCACAAACAGAUCCAAAAUAUGCUGAUAUUUUUCUUCUAGAGAAUUAUGCAGCGUUUCAGAACAGCUUGUAUGACCUAGCCAAUGUUGUGCCCACUUUAGCCAAAUUUUAUCACCAGGCGAGUGAAGCUUAUGAACAAGCUUGUACACGUCAUAUCAGCAUGAUUAUAUAUUAUCAAUUUGAACGGCUUUUCCAGUAUGCUCGAAAGAUUGAGGAUUUGAUGUACACAAUCACUCCAGAAGAGGUU